rnacentral:rRNA from 1 species
AUUGAACGCUGGCGGCAUGCCUUACACAUGCAAGUCGAACGGCAGCACGGGAGCAAUCCUGGUGGCGAGUGGCGAACGGGUGAGUAAUAUAUCGGAACGUGCCCAGUCGUGGGGGAUAACGCAGCGAAAGCUGUGCUAAUACCGCAUACGAUCUAAGGAUGAAAGCGGGGGAUCGCAAGACCUUGCGCGAUCUGAGCGGCCGAUAUCAGAUUAGCUAGUUGGUGGGGUAAAGGCCCACCAAGGCGACGAUCUGUAGCUGGUCUGAGAGGACGACCAGCCACACUGGAACUGAGACACGGUCCAGACUCCUACGGGAGGCAGCAGUGGGGAAUUUUGGACAAUGGGCGCAAGCCUGAUCCAGCAAUGCCGCGUGCAGGAUGAAGGCCUUCGGGUUGUAAACUGCUUUUGUACGGAACGAAACGGCCCUUUCUAAUACAGGGGGCUAAUGACGGUACCGUAAGAAUAAGCACCGGCUAACUACGUGCCAGCAGCCGCAGUAACAC